rnacentral:rRNA from 1 species
CCUACGGGUGGCAGCAGUGAGGAAUAUUGGUCAAUGGACGAGAGUCUGAACCAGCCAAGUAGCGUGAAGGAUGACUGCCCUAUGGGUUGUAAACUUCUUUUAUAUGGGAAUAAAACGUUCCACGUGUGGGAUUUUGUAUGUACCAUAUGAAUAAGGAUCGGCUAACUCCGUGCCAGCAGCCGCGGUAAUACGGAGGAUCCGAGCGUUAUCCGGAUUUAUUGGGUUUAAAGGGAGCGUAGGUGGAUUGUUAAGUCAGUUGUGAAAGUUUGAGGCUCAACCGUAAAAUUGCAGUUGAAACUGGCAGUCUUGAGUACAGUAGAGGUGGGCGGAAUUCGUGGUGUAGCGGUGAAAUGCUUAGAUAUCACGAAGAACUCCGAUUGCGAAGGCAGUUCACUGGACUGCAACUGACACUGAGGCUCGAAAGUGUGGAUAUCAAACAGGAUUAGAUACCCCUGUAGUC